GCGGUUGUGGCUCAGCCGUAGAGUGCUCACCUAGCAUGUGUGAGACCGUGGGUUCGAUCCUCAGCACCACA
rnacentral:tRNA from 1 species